rnacentral:rRNA from 1 species
UACGUAGGGGGCAAGCGUUGUCCGGAAUCAUUGGGCGUAAAGCGCGCGUAGGCGGCCCGAUCAGUCCGCUGUAAAAGUCCAGGGCUCAACCCUGGAAAGCCGGUGGAUACUGUCGGGCUAGAGUCCGGAAGAGGCGGAGUGGAAUUCCUGGUGUAGCGGUGGAAUGCGCAGAUAUCAGGAGGAACACCGAUAGCGAAGGCAGCUCGCUGGGACGGUACUGA